rnacentral:misc_RNA from 1 species
UGUUUCUUCAAUUGCUGUUGGACUAAGGGGAACUCUGUUGCACAUUGCCAUAGUGCAGGCAGCUCUUCCACAAGGAAUUGUCCCCUUUGUCUUUGCGAAGGAAUAUAAUGUUCAUCAUCCUAGCAUAUUGAGCACUGGGGUUAUAUUUGGGAUGUUAAUAGCUCUUCCCAUUACACUGGUUUAUUACAUCUUGCUGGGACUUUGAAGACGAAGCUGCAAGCACUGGAGCUGAUAAGAGAAGAAGGCUAGUUUUACAGUAGUAGUAUUAACCAAUUUGGCAUCGGGAUUUUUGAGAUUUGUCUAACACAACAUCAUGAAUCUGAAGACUGCAUUUUGAGAUAAGAAGAUAGGAAGAGNNNNNNNNNNGAUGAUGACCAGAUUACAUUUCUCUUCAAACACUUGGUUGAUCAUGGAAAGAAAAGAGGGAACAAAGUGGAAAUGAUCAAAAAAAGAUUUGAGCAAAAAUU